GACGAACGCUGGCGGCGUGCUUAACACAUGCAAGUCGAACGAUGAAGCCGGAGCUUGCUCUGGUGAAUUAGUGGCGAACGGGUGAGUAACACGUGAGUAACAUGCCCUUGACUCUGGGAUAACUGCGGGAAACUGUAGCUAAUACCGGAUACGACCCUCGGAGGCAUCUCCUGGGGGUGGAAAGAAUUUCGGUCAAGGAUGGACUCGCGGCCUAUCAGCUAGUUGGUGAGGUAAAGGCUCACCAAGGCGACGACGGGUAGCCGGCCUGAGAGGGUGACCGGCCACGCUGGGACUGAGACACGGCCCAGACUCCGACGGGAGGGAGUAGUGGGGAAUAUUGCACAAUGGGCGCAAGCCUGAUGCAGCAACGCCGCGUGAGGGAUGACGGCCUUCGGGUUGUAAACCUCUUUUAGCAGGGAAGAAGCGAAAGUGACGGUACCUGCAGAAAAAGCACCGGCUAACUACGUGCCAGCCGCCGCCGUAA
rnacentral:rRNA from 1 species